UCAUGUCUCUGAAACUUCUCAAGGCAGGGCGUGAUGCUGCUGUGAUGUUCGUUCCUGGGGCUGGGGGAGAGUGAUGGUCCACAUGGGGCUCCUGGCUCAGGAAAGAAGGCUUCAAGCGGGGGCGGGAUCUGGAGGAGGGUCCCCUGCAGGCACUGGCAUGGAGAACGGUGAUGAUGGUGAGAAGCAGGGCAGCUGGGCCUCCAGGACAGACCCACAAUGUGCAGCAGCAUGAGUGAACACUAAUGGAAACUGUGGACUUCGGGUGAUUAUGAAGUGUCCAUGCAGCUUCAGCUGUGACCUGUACUGUUGGGGGGUAUUGAUAAUGGGGGAGACUGUGACUGUGUACGGAUAGAGGUUUUGGAGUAAAUUUUUGUGCCUUCCUUUCGA